UACAGAGGGGGCAAGCGUUGUUCGGAAUUACUGGGCGUAAAGGGCGCGUAGGCGGCCUGCUAAGUCGAACGUGAAAUCCCCGGGCUCAACCCGGGAACUGCGUCCGAUACUGGCAGGCUUGAAUUCGGGAGAGGGAUGCGGAAUUCCAGGUGUAGCGGUGAAAUGCGUAGAUAUCUGGAGGAACACCGGUGGCGAAGGCGGCAUCCUGGACCGGUAUUGACGCUGAUGCGCGAAAGCCAGGGGAGCAAACGGG
rnacentral:rRNA from 1 species